GACGAACCGUGCGAACGUUGUUCGGAAUCACUGGGCUUAAAGGGCGCGUAGGCGGCUUGUCAAGUCAGGGGUGAAAUCCUCCAGCUCAACUGGAGAAGUGCCUUUGAUACUGAUGAGCUCGAGGGAGGUAGGGGUAUGUGGAACUUCUGGUGGAGCGGUGAAAUGCGUUGAUAUCAGAAGGAACGCCGGUGGCGAAAGCGGCGCGCUGGACCUCUUCUGACGCUGAGGCGCGAAAGCGUGGGGAGCAAACAGG
rnacentral:rRNA from 1 species